AGAUUAAGUUAUUAAGGGCGCACGGUGGAUGCCUUGGCACUAGAAGCCGAUGAAGGACGUUACUAACGACGAUAUGCUUUGGGGAGCUGUAAGUAAGCUUUGAUCCAGAGAUUUCCGAAUGGGGAAACCCAGCAUGAGUUAUGUCAUGUUAUCGAUAUGUGAAUACA
rnacentral:rRNA from 2 species